GGAUCGGUAGCUCAGUGGUAGAGCGUGGGAUUGCAGCCUACAAGCAGCAGUUAUCCUAAGGUCUCGUGUUCGACCCACGAUCGGUCCU
rnacentral:tRNA from 1 species